rnacentral:rRNA from 1 species
UGAGUAACCUGCCCUUCACUCUGGAAUAACUCCGGGAAACCGGGGCUAAUACUGGAUACGACCUACUCGGGCAUCCGAUGUGGGUGGAAAGAUUUAUCGGUGAGGGAUGGACUCGCGGCCUAUCAGCUUGUUGGUGAGGUAAUGGCGCACCAAGGCGACGACGGGUAGCCGGCCUGAGAGGGCGAUCGGCCACACUGGGACUGAGACACGGCCCAGACUCCUACGGGAGGCA